rnacentral:rRNA from 1 species
UGGGGGAUAUUGCACAAUGGGGGAAACCCUGAUGCAGCGACGCCGCGUGGACGAAGAAGUAUUUCGGUAUGUAAAGUCCUAUCAGCAGGGAAGAAGAAAUGACGGUACCUGACUAAGAAGCCCCGGCUAACUACGUGCCAGCAGCCGCGGUAAUACGUAGGGGGCAAGCGUUAUCCGGAUUUACUGGGUGUAAAGGGAGCGCAGGCGGCAGCGCAAGUCUGAUGUGAAAGCCCGGGGCCCAACCGCGGGACUGCAUUGGAAACUGCGCAGCUGGAGUGCCGGAGGGGUAAGCGGAAUUCCUAG